AUACUACGGCAGGGGAGAUACCAUGAUCACGAAAGUAGUCUUCCCAGGGUGAGGCUUGUCCAUUGCACUCCAGAUGUACUGACCCUGAGGAUCUCCCCAAAUGAGGAACACUCAACAGCAUAAUUCGUGGUAGUAGUGGGAACUGUGUUCAUUCUCUCCCCUC
ensembl:snRNA U1 U1 spliceosomal RNA